UUGAACGGCUAUAAAUAGCAGUGAAUGGAGUUAGAGGUUUUCCAAGCCAACAAUACAACUUCCAAGCUUCUCUAUUUAUUUUUGGUUAUUAAGUGUUAGAGGCUUGCGAAGUAUGGCAUCAGUGAAGGCUGAGAAACCUCCAGGCUCACAGCCGUUGCUUGGACAGCCCAAAAAAGAGGCUGCCAAACCCAGUGAUGCUGCAUCAAAAACUCCUCCUUCGUAUGGAAAGCCGGCCCCGAAAAAGGCCGAGCAGAAGCCCCGGGAGCUGAAGAAGAAGGGAAAAGGUGGGAAACCAGCAGCAAAGAACUAACCAGAAAGCAGAUAUUGUACUGCAUGGGCUUCUGUGAAGCCUCUUAUGUUUUUUUUUCUUAUUUGGAUGGUGUGUUGUCUUUAUGGCUUUCAUGUAUUGAUGCAUGUUAGGGUGGGUAUUAUGAAAUAAAAACAAUCAUGUAUUAAAGAUGA